CGUCAGCUCGUGUCGUUGAGAUGUUGGUUAAGUCCCGCAACGAGCGCAACCCUUGUCCUUAGUUGCCAGCAUUCAGUUGGGCACUCUAAGGAGACUGCCGGUGUUAAACCGGAGGAAGGUGGGGAUGACGUCAAGUCCUCAUGGCCCUUAUGUCCAGGGCUACACACGUGCUACAAUGGCCGGUACAAAGGGCUGCAAGACCGUGAGGUUGAGCGAAUCCCAGAAAGCCGGUCUCAGUUCGGAUUGGAGUCUGCAACUCGACUCCAUGAAGUUGGAAUCGCUAGUAAUCGCGGAUCAGCAUGCCGCGGUGAAUACGUUCCCGGGCCUU
rnacentral:rRNA from 1 species